CUUGUUUGGGGAUGUCUCACCUUCAGAACCAUAGUGAAUCAAUUCCCGCUUUAAACUGCCCAGUUAAUGAAGUUUAUUCUAGCAACCCGAGGAAACUAAUAUCUUAGGGUUCAGUAGUUGGCAGUGGUGAAGUCAGAGGCUGAAUAUUCUGAGAUGAAGUGGACUCCAAAGUCUGGCCACCCCAAUGAGAACACUAGCAAAUAUCUUUCAAUGGAGGAAUGUUGGUACUAAGGUGUCUAUGCAGAAGUAACCAUAAAACCAUAGCUUAGAAAACUGCAAACAAAACUAGCAGUGGAAUGGAAGGGCAUGAGAGAGCAGAAUUUGUUCUACCAGACGAUAAGAUAAGUUAUAAAUCUCCUGAGACCACUGUGAUUUCGGAACAGGAAACACUGACAAGUCAUGGAGCAGGUUAGAAAGUCCAACAAGAGAUUCCAGGAUGCAUGAGACCACUGCCAGAUUUGUCUUUUGUGAUUCUACUUGGCACCUCAGAUUUCCUGCAAAUAAACUCAGCUCGAGACGUUUCCCCAGCAAGACGCAAGGCUUUCUCCGGUGAUGGAAGGAGGGUUGAAUUUUGUUGUGGUUUGGGUGUGGUGUGUCUCAGCCAAGGCUCAUGUUGCCAUUUGCUUCCAGUAUAUAACAGUGCAGAGUGGAGGUGGGCCCUUUAAAAGGUGCCCCAUGCAGGCUGGGUUACUGUGGCUUUCUCUCUUGUAAGGUGUUGUUUCUGUGUCUCCUGCUGUGUUAUGAUGCAGCAUGGAGACCCCCCAGAGGAAGCCCUCUGAGACGGUGGUGCCACACUUUCAGAUUUCCUGGCCUCUAGAGGCAGGAGGUCAAUACAUCUCUCUCUUUUCUUAUGAAUUUCUCAGUGUGGGCUAUUUUCUUUUACAGCCACAGAAAAUAGACUAAAGACAACUUUCAAGUACAUUCCUGGCCGUUGAAAGUAGCUGAUGUGGUGAACUGAGGUCCAGGAAAAUGUGGCUUUAUUCUUCCAUCAAGACCAUGAACUACAAGGAGAAAGGAAGCAGCAAGUAACCCUGGCUCCAUAGUCAAGAAGAACCAUUUAAACAUAUCUGACAUGUCCUUGGAUACAUCAGUGAGAACUGAUUAGGAUCGACACCAGUAUCUCUCCAAAGCCAGAGCCGUGUGACAGCCAGGGGCUGAGUCCUUUCCAGUUUGUGCUUCUCUUGGCUCUCCUUCCCCACCUCGGAGUCCGUGUUUUUAACCAGCAGCUCAGUUUCGAUGAACUGCAGUCCGAGUGUCCAUGCCUACAGGGACUACUAGUGUGACAUUUUCUCUAAUUGUUUGGAAAUGUGCACUUAUACACGGUUUCACACAUUUGGGUUCAAUUAACUUUUUAAGCAGGAUGAAGCUGUGUUAGGAAAAAUGCUGCUUCUUUACAUUCCAUUCUUGCCUGAUUUGUUGGAAGGAGCAGAGAUGGGUUCCCGCUUCUCUUCUUCAACAAGCAGACAUUCUUCAGAGAUAUCUGGGCAGCACAGUGACUCCUGGGUUCUCUGACCAGAAGAAGCAGGCCAUCACUGACUUCUGUAUUGACUCGAUUUUUACUAGGCCAAUAAAGCGAUCACAGAA